rnacentral:rRNA from 1 species
GACGAACGCUGGCGGCGUGCUUAACACAUGCAAGUCGAACGAAGAGCGACGGAAGCUUGCUUCUAUCAAUCUUAGUGGCGAACGGGUGAGUAACGCGUAAUCAACCUGCCCUUCAGAGGGGGACAACAGUUGGAAACGACUGCUAAUACCGCAUACGAUCUAACCUCGGCAUCGAGGAUAGAUGAAAGGUGGCCUCUACAUGUAAGCUAUCACUGAAGGAGGGGAUUGCGUCUGAUUAGCUAGUUGGAGGGGUAACGGCCCACCAAGGCGAUGAUCAGUAGCCGGUCUGAGAGGAUGAACGGCCACAUUGGGACUGAGACACGGCCCAGACUCCUACGGGAGGCAGCAGUGGGGGAUCUUCCGCAAUGGACGAAAGUCUGACGGAGCAACGCCGCGUGAGUGAUGACGGCCUUCGGGUUGUAAAGCUCUGUUAAUCGGGACGAAAGGCCUUCUUGCGAAUAGUGAGAAGGAUUGACGGUACCGGAAUAGAAAGCCACGGCUAACUACGU